CCUACGGGAGGCAGCAGUGGGGAAUAUUGCACAAUGGGGGAAACCCUGAUGCAGCGACGCCGCGUGAGUGAAGAAGUAUCUCGGUAUGUAAAGCUCUAUCAGCAGGGAAGAAAAUGACGGUACCUGACUAAGAAGCCCCGGCUAACUACGUGCCAGCAGCCGCGGUAAUACGUAGGGGGCAAGCGUUAUCCGGAUUUACUGGGUGUAAAGGGAGCGUAUACGGGGUCACAAGUAUGGAGUGAAAUCCCGGGGCUUAACCCCGGAACUGCUUUGGAAACUGUGCGGCUGGAGUGCCGGAGGGGUAGGCGGAAUUCCUGGUGUAGCGGUGAAAUGCGUAGAUAUUAGGAGGAACACCGGUGGCGAAGGCGGCUUGCUGGACUGUAACUGACGUUGAGGCUCGAAAGCGUGGGGAGCAAACAGGAUUAGAUACCCGAGUAGUC
rnacentral:rRNA from 1 species